CAGUGAGGUGCCAAGUCAGCCUAUCAAGAGGGAAUGGGCCCUAAGCAAGUCUGAGUCCCUUGUCCUUGAGGAUGCUGAUAUCCCCCUGGACCUCUUUUGUUUAUCAGUAUAGAUACAGACUCUGUAACAAAUUCAUCAGCGGCAAUCAUUAGAAGCCAUCAACAACUGACUGAACUGUCUUAGAAAAGUGAGUAACUGUAUACCCCCAAAACACUGCCCUGUUCAGUUUGUGAGGAGAAUGAAACAAACAAACAAACAAACAAACAAACAAAAAAAAAAAAAAAAAAAAAAAGCAAGUAGUGUGAAGUAGAGAGUUCAAGGGAAAAGGCAGAUAGGGUGCUCUAGAAGCGGGGCUCUGAAAGCUGUCAGGGCCACGCUGAUCUCAGGUGGUCACCUGCUUGAGCUGAUGAGCAUCAGGCACCUGGGCUGGAACCUAAUCUGUCUCACCAGAGGCCACCUGGCAAUUAUGGGGAAGCAAGAUCUUUCCUUGGCUCCUAGCUACACCUGUGGUUACUCUGCUGAGUGCCAUGACUGUAUUUAAAGCAGCCCCACAGAGGGGCCUAUUUUCAUUUGGUUUGUCUCAGCUUGGUUUGAGCAUCUCCCUGGUUGGUGUCCUGUGUUUUUGGCUGAUUUCUGUAUCCCUUUGUGUCACUGUAAUGGUGCUUGAGGAUACUGGAGGAGCUGCCCUGUGGUAUGGCACACCUGCAAAGUGAAAACUUGAUAAGGAUGCUGAUUUUUGUAGGAUGAUAAUGAACAGCUGGGUAAGUGGGAGAAUUUGUCUGUUAACUUAUGGAAGUAAACUUGUUUAUUCCUUGGUCCCUUUACUUCUGUCUUGUUGAAGGACUUCCAGAAAUGCUAGUUAACCUGGUGAGAACCUUUAUGUCAACUUUGAGCAUUGUCUCUGGCCCUAAAUUCUUACAAAGUACCUGAUUUUCUACUGUCAUGAGUUAACAGAGCUCUACAGCAUACAUUAAUGCCAUGGUGAUUUUUAUCAGCAAAAUACCUGGCAUAAUUAUCUUAGCACAGCGAGUGUGGUCAAGUGGUGUAAUGUAAUCCAACACCACCUAAAGAAUGCAUGUGACAGCUUUGUUUUGCAAGAAGAGAGUAGAAGGGCUUGUUGGAAGGAGAGCUCAAAUGCUCUUUAAUUCAAGGAACUAGCAUCUGACCCUAAUUAUGUAGUGAAAACGGAGGUAGUGCAAGCACCAGAAAGUGGACAAGUCUGCAACAGGAACAAAAGCAUCAACUGCUGUUGAGGUCUUUGCAAAGAUCUGCUGAGAGGGGGGAGAGAGGGAGACAAAGUGGCUCCAGUUGCACAUAAAUACUUGAUGGAAAGUAUGCUGAGGAACAGGGCAUUGGGUUAUUUCUCAUAAGAUGUAAAAUUGCUUAAUAUGAGUGAAAUGAAUUGCCCUUCAUGCAGAAAUUAAUUAUGAAGGUAACUUUACAGAGGUGGUAGUAAGGGUGUAAGCAAAAUAACGCUGGCAUUGAAUUUAAAAGCUAUGCAUAAUGAGUGGUUUAUUAACAUGUCUAUGAUCAUCAGUACCAGGAGACCUUGACUGCUGUGCAGUAACAUACUUAAGUUUCUAACUAAUUUUAUUUCGUUUGACCCAAUGUUAGUUGUUUUAUCAAAGAACAAGAUAACGCUAUCAUCUUCAGGAGUAACUUACCAAGGAAUAACUUUUUAUUCAUUG
rnacentral:lncRNA from 1 species